GUUUAUGUAGUUUAAAAAACAUUACAUUUUCAAUGUAAAAAUGGAAAAAUAGUUUCCCAUAAAUA
rnacentral:tRNA from 1 species